GUGGAACACCUACGCUACCGGGGGGCGGGGAGAAUGUCUUCUGCUAAGCGCAUGCGUCCACAGCGGGGGAGCGCGCGAACUGUUUUGUGUUGGCCGCGUUUGGCUGCUGGCGCAUGCGCAGUGAAUAAAGGAAACAUGAGCUGUGUUGAUGCAAACAGCCAAAGGAUUUGGGGAGCUUGUUGAAAAGGAUUACUUCUGGAAACAUCUAAGAAACAAAGACAAAAGAGGGGAGAGAAGAGCUGAGUCCAAGCUGGAAAAGGUAUCUGGCCUGUGAAGGAAAUGCCUAAAACAACAUUUAGGGGUGAACCAACCCCGCACUGGGACAACGGGAACGGACCAAUCACUGUGGGCCCAGAAGGCCACGCCCCCCUUUCCCCUGCUGCACAUGUUCCAGGUGGAAGAGCCAGAUAAAAGGAGGCAGCCCCGCUCAGUGAGGGCUGGCUACGGAGGUGGAAGGACGUGUACUGCAGGCUCCUCCAGAGGUGCUGGUGGCGCUCUAGGUGGCAGAGCCCAUGGACCUGGACUAUGCUGUGGAUGACUCAUGGACUGUAGAGACUGAUGGGGAUGCCAAGCUGCCGCCAGCUGAGGAGAUGCCUGGGACACAAUUUAUGCUGCAAUCUGUCUGCCACGAGUUAACAUCCUGCAGUGACUGGAAAUGGAAACUAAGAGGUGACGAUAAUGAAAAUAUGAGUCUUGUGCUACCUGUUAUCCAGCACCAGAAAAAAAUGUGAAGUGACUUUUAAAAUCAAAUGAAACAUUACUGCAGAUGUACUGGUAUAAAAAUCUAAUGCCUGUAAUGCAUGUCUCAUAUUUUUUUUAUUUCUUCUUGGAACCACAGUGAGUAGAAAAUGAACAAGGAAAUGGGAACAGCUGCAUUAUUUAACCCCUCCCUCCAGCAACGGCAGCAUAAAUCAUUGCUGUACUAGUUAUACAAAUACUGAUCGCCAGAUAAUGCUGUUUGUUAUUCAAGUGUAUGUUAAUUGUUAGUACAAACAUGUAGGCCAAUCAUAGGAGGUGAUACAUAUUUGGUUACAAACUUGAAUUAAAUCAAAGUAUGGGUUAGAUGUGCCCCUUGAAUCUGCUACUUUAUCACCAAAAAGACUUCAAGAAGCUUGAUAAGUCUUUAAACAAAUAUUUUUAACCCACCAAAACAUCUGUGAAGGGGUUGGCACCAGCUUUUGAAUCCUAUUUUGCACCUCAUCCAAACCUCCCAAAGUUCCUUGUUGGCCUAGUAAACCCCUAUAUCAAGCCACCUUAUCAGGCCCCUACUCUUUAUUAUUUUCCUUUUUACAACAUCCCAUUUGGCUUGCGAGAGUUUGCCCAGGAAGGUGGAAAUUAACUGUAACCUCAUCAACCAACCGGGCAGGCUUCAGCUGCAGUCAGUUCUAUUUAAACAAGUUUUAAAAGCUGAUCAAGCAAACAGGCUAAAUGAAGUUAGUUACCAUUGACGGGAGUUACAAUCAAAUGCUUUUCAGGCAGCGAUUUGCAUUCAUGUGCCUAGUGAGGCUAGGCAUUGGCCUGUGAAGUCUCAUUAGAUAACUCAGAACUGUGUCCCUGGAUUUAGGGAGAUACAGGGUAGUUCCUGGUGGAACAGUGCUAGACUCUCAUGAAAAUGUACAUGUAGCUUCUUCUUUUUGGAGUUGGGGCAGAGAGAGGGCAGGCCUGAAAAGAUGUAGUGCCUGACCCUCUUGUUGCUCUUAACCAGAGUUGGGUGGGAUGCAAAGUUCUUUUAUAAAUUAAUUCAGAAGUCUGGCUGUCAGGAGAUUCGAGACUGGUGUUGCUAGUAAGUAUGGAUGUACCUGAAACCCUGGAAUCCUGGGUCCAGAAGGCUGGUGACAGUGAGAUGCAGUACAGAGAAGACUGUUACAGUUCUCCCAAUAUCACCUCUGAAGGGGAUCUGUUUCCAAGAAAUUCUGGGCCUGAGAUGGUGAUCAAGGAAGCAGCCCUCCACAUUCAUCUUCUUCUGCUGUAGAUGGUGCGAUUGGCCCUCAAAACCUUUAGGUCACAAGGGACAAACCAGAUAGUGCUGAUUGGUGCAGACAACACAGCAAAGGUGUCGUAAAUUAACAUGCAGGAGACUAGCACAAGAAACCAUGAUCCUGAUGGGCUGGGCAGAAUCCCAUCUGAUAACCCUCAAAAUGAUAUGCCUGGCUAGCAUGCACAACCUUGAAACAGGCUAGGUGAGUGUGAAGGGGUCAACUCACCGCUAGUAAUUCGUUGUGGCUGGCCAUGGCAUGGCAGUUCGCUCUCUACUGAGGAUUUCAAUAGCUCAGACAUAGGUGAGAGGUUUAUUGCAGGAGUACAUGGGUGAGAUUCUGUGGCCUGCAUUGUGCAGGA